rnacentral:tRNA from 1 species
GCCCUACUACUCCACUGGCAGAGAGAGCGGACUCAAAACCCGCACAGUCUGGGUUCGAAUCCCAGGUAGGGCACCA